AUGCUCACUUCAGCAGCACAUACACUAAAACUGGAACAAUACAGAGAUUAGCAUGACUGGUGUGCAAGGAUGAAACGCAAAUUCAUGAGGUCUUCCACAUGAUU